GUUGACCAAAUAGUUUCUGCCAAAAGAGGAGAAUUGUUCACAUUUGGUGGUAUUAUUUGAAUAAAUCCUAUAGCAGGGCGAAUUUUUCCUGGUUAUUGUGAAAUUUGUAAUAGGAAUAAGUCAACGUUUUAAAUGGUCGAUGAACUACCAGGAUGAUGCGACAAAAUUUCUGCAGUUAAGGCCACUCAAGUCGAAGCAUGCAGUUAAUGUCGCUGAAGAGUUAUCAAAAAAUUUUUUCACGUUCGGAGCGCCUACUAUACUACACAGUGACAAUGGACGGGAGUUUAUUGCAGCUAUCAUACUGGAUUUGAGAAGAAUUUGGCCCCAAUGUUCAAGAUUGUCCAUGGUCGACCACAACAUUCUCAGAGCCAAGGUAGUGUUGAACGGGCAAAUGCUGACGUUAAAAGUAUGCUUACGGCAUAUAUCAUAGAAAAAGUACAAAAAUUGGUUCCAAGAUUGUUUUGACGUGCAGUGGUUGAAAGACACUUCUAAACAUAGGAUAAUUAAUCGUACUCCGUAUGAAGCUGUUUUUGCUCCUAUUCAAUGCGGUAUAACAAAUUUUUCUUUACCUGAAAGCGUCUUGAACAAUCUAGAAAUAGAAGAAGAGUAGAUAUUUAAAGCGAGUUAUGGCACUCAUUUCCAAGAACCCCAUAUAGAAGAAGCUGACGACACUAUAAAAUUUCGCUUAUCAUAACGUACACAUUAUGUAUAAAUAAAAGAGACAUGUUAAUUAGUCAGUCAGUUAGUUGUCAUAUAAGAAAACGUAAAUUUUAUUGUC